CUGAAGUGAAAGAAUCCACAACAUGAAAUUUGCUCUUAUGGGUUUUUAUGGGGAGCUGACAUCAUUGGAACCACACAUAAAACUUCUGAGAGGAACAUGAAACAGAGACAAGAUGGAGCCAAGACUCAUCCACCCAAUGCAAAAUUGUGCAUCUCUGAGGGGACAAAUUAUAUUGCAAAGAACAACUGAAUCUCUCCAGACUCCAGGAAGCUGAGAACAUCAAAGCCCAGCCACCGAGAUACACAGAGGUUUGAUAUAGAAGGAGCCUUGGGAUGGAGCUGAACAGUUUCUGUCCAUAGUAUGAACCCAGAGGAG